GGCUGUAACCAGGAGAUGUGGGGCUAUAAGCUGGUGAAGUUGGGCUGUAGGAAGGAGAUGUGGGGCUGUAAGAAGGUGAAGUUGGGCUGUAGGAUGGUGAUGUUGGGCUGUAUGAAGGAGAGGUCGGGCUAUAAGAUGGUGAGGUGGGGCUGUAUGCAGGGGAAGUGGGGCUAUAUGCAGGUGAUGUGGGGCUAUAAACAGGAGAGGUUGGACUAUAACUAGGUGAUGUAGGGCUGUAACUGGGCGAAGUGGGGCUGUAGCUGGGAGAUGUAGGGCUAUAAGAUGGAGAAGUAGGGCUAUAAGAUGGGGAAGUGGGGCUAUAGCUGGGAGAAGUGGGUGAAUACGAAGGGCUUGUAGGUGAAUAUGCAGGACUUGUUGGGCUAUAACCAGGAGAACUUGGACUGUAGGUUGGAGAUGUGGGGCUGUAGCCAGGAGAUGUGGGGCUGUAGCCAG
rnacentral:lncRNA from 1 species